rnacentral:rRNA from 1 species
GACGAACGCUGGCGGCGUGCUUAACACAUGCAAGUCGAACGGAGUGGCGAACGGGUGAGUAACACGUGAGUAACCUGCCUUUUUCUUUGGGAUAACGCUCAGAAAUGAGUGCUAAUACUGGAUGGAGGGAGAUGGGCUCGCGGUUUAUCAGCUUGUUGGUGGGGUGAUGGCUUACCAAGGCGUUGACGGGUAGCCGGUCUGAGAGGAUGAACGGCCACAUUGGGACUGAGACACGGCCCAGACUCCUACGGGAGGCAGCAGUGGGGAAUCUUCCGCAAUGGACGAAAGUCUGACGGAGCAACGCCGCGUGAGUGAUGACGGCCUUCGGGUUGUAAAGCUCUGUUAAUCGGGACGCGGUACCGGAAUAGAAAGCCACGGCUAACUACGUGCCAGCCGCCGCGGUAAUUC